CCAUGCCGCGUGUGUGAAGAAGGCCUUCGGGUUGUAAAGCACUUUCAGUCGUGAGGAAGGUAGUGUAGUUAAUAGCUGCAUUAUUUGACGUUAGCGACAGAAGAAGCACCGGCUAACUCCGUGCCAGCAGCCGCGGUAAUACGGAGGGUGCGAGCGUUAAUCGGAAUUACUGGGCGUAAAGCGCAUGCAGGUGGUUUGUUAAGUCAGAUGUGAAAGCCCGGGGCUCAACCUCGGAAUAGCAUUUGAAACUGGCAGACUAGAGUACUGUAGAGGGGGGUAGAAUUUCAGGUGUAGCGGUGAAAUGCGUAGAGAUCUGAAGGAAUACCGGUGGCGAAGGCGGCCCCCUGGACAGAUACUGACACUCAGAUGCGAAAGCGUGGGGAGCAAACAGGAUUAGAUACCCUGGUAGUCCACGCCGUAAACGAUGUCUACUUGGAGGUUGUGGCCUUGAGCCGUGGCUUUCGGAGCUAACGCGUUAAGUAGACCGCCUGGGGAGUACGGUCGCAAGAUUAAAACUCAAAUGAAUUGACGGGGGCCCGCACAAGCGGUGGAGCAUGUGGUUUAAUUCGAUGCAACGCGAAGAACCUUACCUACUCUUGACAUCCAGAGAACUUUCCAGAGAUGGAUUGGUGCCUUCGGGAACUCUGAGACAGGUGCUGCAUGGCUGUCGUCAGCUCGUGUUGUGAAAUGUUGGGUUAAGUCCCGCAACGAGCGCAACCCUUAUCCUUGUUUGCCAGCACUUCGGGUGG
rnacentral:rRNA from 1 species